rnacentral:rRNA from 1 species
GAUGAACGCUGGCGGCGUGCCUAAUACAUGCAAGUCGAGCGAACGGACGAGGAGCUUGCUUCUCUGAUGUUAGCGGCGGACGGGUGAGUAACACGUGGAUAACCUACCUAUAAGACUGGGAUAACUUCGGGAAACCGGAGCUAAUACCGGAUAAUAUUUUGAACCGCAUGGUUCAAAAGUGAAAGACGGUCUUGCUGUCACUUAUAGAUGGAUCCGCGCUGCAUUAGCUAGUUGGUAAGGUAACGGCUUACCAAGGCAACGAUGCAUAGCCGACCUGAGAGGGUGAUCGGCCACACUGGAACUGAGACGCGGUCCAGACUCCUACGGGAGGCAGCAGUAGGGAAUCUUCCGCAAUGGGCGAAAGCCUGACGGAGCAACGCCGCGUGAGUGAUGAAGGUCUUCGGAUCGUAAAACUCUGUUAUUAGGGAAGAACAUAUGUGUAAGUAACUGUGCACAUCUUGACGGUACCUAAUCAGAAAGCCACGGCUAACUACGUG